GACGAACGCUGGCGGCGUGCUUAACACAUGCAAGUCGAACGAUGAACCGGAGCUUGCUCUGGGGAUUAGUGGCGAACGGGUGAGUAACACGUGGGCAACCUGCCCCAGACACCGGGAUAACCAUUCGAAAGGAUGGCUAAUACCGGAUACGACCACUUCGGGCAUCCGAUGGUGGUGGAAAGGAUUCUGGUCUGGGAUGGGCCCGCGGCCAAUCAGCUUGUUGGUGGGGUAAUGGCCUACCAAGGCGACGACGGGUAGCCGGCCUGAGAGGGCGACCGGCCACACUGGGACGGAGACACGGCCCAGACUCCUACGGGAGGCAGCAGUGGGGAAUAUUGCGCAAUGGGCGAAAGCCUGACGCAGCGACGCCGCGUGAGGGACGAAGGUCUUCGGAUUGUAAACCUCUUUCAGCAGGGAUGAAGCGAAAGUGACAGUACCUGCAGAAGAAGCACCGGCUAACUACGUGCCAGCAGCCGCAGUAACAC
rnacentral:rRNA from 1 species